rnacentral:lncRNA from 1 species
GAGGAGCAGGCCCUCGCCGGCGGCGAAGAUCUUCCCUCUGCGCAUCUUCCUCCUUCGCGACCGAUCGGGAAGAUAAGGAACCGGACUGAUCUGGCUUCCUCCGCAGGUACAUGCUCUCCUACUGUGAUUCUGCUUCUCCAUCGUCUUCCUCCUCCGGCAAAAACCUAGGCUGUUCCAGAUCUUGGAUUGCUGUCCCUAUAAUCCACCGCGGACGCCGUUGUCAUCUUCUUCUCCGUCCUGUUCGCCUUGCUCUUCAUCUUAGGGUUCGGGAUGGAUCCCGUCAGAAUCCCAUCCCUAGAAUUGGGGACUGUUGCAGGUAGCUCAUCCGUCCUAGAUCUUCCAGAAUCAAUAACGCGGAUCGAAGGCACUUGAACAG